rnacentral:rRNA from 2 species
GAGUGGCGAACGGGUGAGUAACACGUGGGUAACCUGCCCAGAAGUAGGGGAUAACACCUGGAAACAGAUGCUAAUACCGUAUAACAGAGAAAACCGCAUGGUUUUCUUUUAAAAGAUGGCUCUGCUAUCACUUCUGGAUGGACCCGCGGCGUAUUAGCUAGUUGGUGAGGUAAAGGCUCACCAAGGCAGUGAUACGUAGCCGACCUGAGAGGGUAAUCGGCCACAUUGGGACUGAGACACGGCCCAGACUCCUACGGGAGGCAGCAGUAGGGAAUCUUCCACAAUGGACGCAAGUCUGAUGGAGCAACGCCGCGUGAGUGAAGAAGGGUUUCGGCUCGUAAAGCUCUGUUGUUAAAGAAGAACGUGGGUAAGAGUAACUGUUUACCCAGUGACGGUAUUUAACCAGAAAGCCACGGCUAACUACGUGCCAGCAGCCGCGGUAAUACGUAGGUGGCAAGCGUUAUCCGGAUUUAUUGGGCGUAAAGCGAGCGCAGGCGGUCUUUUAAGUCUAAUGUGAAAGCCUUCGGCUCAACCGAAGAAGUGCAUUGGAAACUGGGAGACUUGAGUGCAGAAGAGGACAGUGGAACUCCAUGUGUAGCGGUGAAAUGCGUAGAUAUAUGGAAGAACACCAGUGGCGAAGGCGGCUGUCUGGUCUGCAACUGACGCUGAGGCUCGAAAGCAUGGGUAGCGAACAGGAUUAGAUACCCUGGUAGUCCAUGCCGUAAACGAUGAUUACUAAGUGUUGGAGGGUUUCCGCCCUUCAGUGCUGCAGCUAACGCAUUAAGUAAUCCGCCUGGGGAGUACGACCGCAAGGUUGAAACUCAAAAGAAUUGACGGGGGCCCGCACAAGCGGUGGAGCAUGUGGUUUAAUUCGAAGCUACGCGAAGAACCUUACCAGGUCUUGACAUCUUCUGACAGUCUAAGAGAUUAGAGGUUCCCUUCGGGGACAGAAUGACAGGUGGUGCAUGGUUGUCGUCAGCUCGUGUCGUGAGAUGUUGGGUUAAGUCCCGCAACGAGCGCAACCCUUAUUACUAGUUGCCAGCAUUAAGUUGGGCACUCUAGUGAGACUGCCGGUGACAAACCGGAGGAAGGUGGGGACGACGUCAAAUCAUCAUGCCCCUUAUGACCUGGGCUACACACGUGCUACAAUGGAUGGUACAACGAGUCGCGAGACCGCGAGGUUAAGCUAAUCUCUUAAAACCAUUCUCAGUUCGGACUGUAGGCUGCAACUCGCCUACACGAAGUCGGAAUCGCUAGUAAUCGCGGAUCAGCAUGCCGCGGUGAAUACGUUCCCGGGCCUUGUACACACCGCCCGUCACACCAUGAGAGUUUGUAACACCCAAAGCCGGUGGGGUAACC